UACGAAGGGGGCUAGCGUUGUUCGGAAUUACUGGGCGUAAAGCGCACGUAGGCGGAUUGUUAAGUUAGGGGUGAAAUCCCAGGGCUCAACCCUGGAACUGCCUUUAAUACUGGCAAUCUCGAGUCCGAGAGAGGUGAGUGGAAUUCCGAGUGUAGAGGUGAAAAUUCGUAGAUAUUCGGAGGAACACCAGUGGCGAAGGCGGCUCACUGGCUCGGUACUGACGCUGAGGUGCGAAAGCGUGGGGAGCAAACAGG
rnacentral:rRNA from 1 species